CCAUCCUUAACUGGGCUUCCGUUGCCUGCCAGACAAUAAUAACGGUGACACCUCGAAGUCAAGCGCGGGAAUCUGAACAAAGGAAGACGAAGCAGAAGAGAAAUGGCAAUGACCAGCAAGAGAAGGAAAUAUGCUUGCAGUUUUGGGACAUGUUGCCAAAGGGAGACCUAAGGGUGUUAUUUAUGCUGAGACAAAGUUGGCUAUGCUGUUAGCUACAGGCAACAUCCCAUUCACAUUUGCGGAUGUGAAGAUGCUGGCAGCGCAUUUAACCAGCAAGAAGGCAAAGUUCUUCUUCCUCUUCCUCUCCCAGGUUCUGAAACCACUGGCAGAGUUCAAUGUUAUGUUUCAGGUCAGCCAGCCUAUCAAAAGAUAAACUUAAAUAAUUGUGAUAAUAAAUGAUUUCUCCCUGCCAGCCUUAUCGCUGACGUCCCAUUGAAGGACAUCAAGUUCAUGGAUGCCAGCCUACAGUUGCCAGACAAAGAAAACUUUCUUGGAGUAGCUGCACAAAGCCUCUUGGGGAACAACAUGGAUGAACUUUCCUCUUCUGUCCCAAUGAUGAUCCAGGCAGUGAGAGACUUCUUUGUAGCUGUGACCGCAAAGAUGAUGACUGCAUUCCCCCUCGACAACAUCAUCCUACAAAACCUGACCGUGUU
ensembl:lncRNA